rnacentral:rRNA from 1 species
GGACCUGAUAUCAGGCAAGAU